rnacentral:pre_miRNA from 1 species
UGGUGCAAGUGGAGAAGUAGUUCUCAUCGCUUAGCUUCAAAAGUGAGAUUCAACUUCUCCGACUUACAACC